GAGCUUGCUGCUGGCACAGCUCACAGGUACCCACUCGCUGCCUGGCUGCCUGCCAGCCACACCACCAGAGCUAGACAAUGCUGCUGCUCAUAGACUGACUCCCCAUCCACGGAUAUUUAUGGAUAUAUAUGGAUAUUUUUUUCUGGGAGAUAUAUAUAUAUCCCAGAAAAAGCUUAUGUGCAACAGCUGGGUUUUAUAAGGGCAGCUUUAGCACUUACUGGAAGCGGAGUGUGCUGGUGAGGAGGCACAAAGCAGAGCAGUCACCUCAACCUGAGCAAUAAUUUAAUAUUUCCAUAUUGGAAAUGCCACGUUUGUCACUAAAAUGAUCCAAUAUUGAUUAUGUCCCUCUCUGUCCCAGCACUGUCCAGGUUCCCUGUCCCAUACAGGGGGACACACGUGACACAGAGCACAUAGCAUUUCUAAAAUAUUUAAUGCCUGGACAAAUUCCAAAGCUCACUCUGCUGCUGCUGUUUUCCUCAUGUGCACCUUUGGAAAUUACAAUUCCUCACUCUGAGUCAUAAAGCAGCAUUUUGAGGUGGGAUUUACCAUACUCCCCCUCCCUCUGUCAUAAGGAGAUUGGUAAUUAAGGUUGUGUUUCCAGGAAGGGUGCUGUUCAUAAUGGCACAGAGGAUUCAGAAAUCCAGGCAGGAUGGCAAACAAGCCCCAAAUCUGGAGGGAAGUGGAGUAUUUUCCCAUUAAGGAUGAGCUGAGUGCUCCAGUUCAGCUGUGCUAGUUGAAUGGAGUCAGCAGGACCACAUGGCUGCUGUGGGAAGGGCAAAAAGAAAGUGUCAGGGUCUUAGAGAAAUGUGAUGUUCUGGCUGGUCUCUGUCACCCUGGGUGGCCUUUAAAUGGCCACAUUAAGAGGAGAAUUGUCACAGUGCUACAGUGCUCUUGAAUAUGGGUUUCAAACCUACUGAGAACAUCCAGACUGCAACACAAAUUCUGGUGGAAAUAGCUGAACUUACUAUUCCAGUCCACAAAACCUAUGGAGGUGAGGAGCAGUGUAGGAAUUUUCUCCCAUCUCUUGGUUUUCCUCAUUUCCUCUUGUAUUUCAGGCAGAUGUUUUAAAGGGCUGUGACAUUUCCUUUAACUUAGCUGAGUUCAAGAGGUGAGGAAGGGAGAAGUCCAGAGUCUAAGAAGGAACUAAACAGACCUUGUUCCUCUGAUAAUUUUCAGAUAGAACAGCUCUGAGUUUUCCUUUAAUGGGACUGCACACAACUGCAGAAGCUUGGCACAUUUACAUCCAAAAUUAAUUAGGCUUCAUUAGCAAUAAACCUCUGGAAAUUUGCAUUUCCAGAUCCCCUGGAUCCAUUUCAAACCAGGAUACAGCAAGGCUUUGGAUGCAGGAGAUGUGGAUGUUCUGCACAGGGAGGAGAUUUUGCUCAAGCAACCACACGACUUUUUUAUCACUCUGGGAACGUGAGCACACGGAACACACCAAACCAGGAACAUCCUCGUGGAGCUUCUCACGUUGUCUCUGUGAUUUGUGACCACCUCACCCAGCACAGCCUGUGCUUCCAUGGGAGAGGGAUUGACUCCUCCUCAUCCACUUCCCUCUGGAAGAAUCUGCUCCAACACUGUCACCUUUUUGUGAGGUGAGACUCCCAUCAUGGGAAACAGCUCUCCUUGUUCCAAUUAAACCACUGAUGCUCAUUGACCUCCCCUGUUCCUCUCUACCAGCCCUUUCUUUAGGGCUCUUUGCCACCACCAGGCCAAACCUGCCUGUGUGGGUGCUGCCCUUGUUUGUGCAGCCCUUGACUCAUGGCCUUGAACUUCCCACCACCCUCAGCCCCAGGCUGGUCCCAGCAAUGGGGAUGAGACCCACGGGUGGGGUCCUGGCUGCUGGGAUGGGGUGCCCAGCUCUGCUGUCCAUCCACCAACACCUCCAGCAGGAAUCAUUUGCUCUCUGCCAGUCUUAUUUUCAGGCAGGAGGAAUCUGAGGCUUGUGCAAAUAUUUAAACACACGUCUGUCCUGAAUUAUUCAGUGUACUCUGCCUGCUCCUGGAGCUCAUUCAAAGGGAGGGCAGUCGAUAGAGCUCUGACAUUCACCGUGGAGAGGAGGAGGCAGAGGGAGCACCAACAGCUCCCUGCCCUCUCCACCCCUCCUGCCCCACAGGCUCCAGCUCUGAGCUCCCUGCCACUGCUGUCCAGCACCAAUCUGAGCAAAUUUGACUUAAUUUAAGGUGACCCCGUGUGGCACAGACCUGGGGACUGCUGUGUCCUCAGCUAUGGGUGAGGCUGCAGUGCCUGACUUCAGAAGACCCAAGGAAAAAACUGAGCAGCCUCGUAUUUUUCUGCUCUGGUUGAAAGAGGCUUUUUCCAGUGGCAGAUGCACAUCUCUGUGCAUCACAAACUCCAAAGUGCAGCUCUGGGCCUCCUGAAGUCAAAGGGGAACUUGAGAUUUGAAUUCUAACUUCACCUAUGAACUGAAGGACAGCUGGGAGCCAAAGCCCUUUGGAGCAGAGGGGUCUUUCCUCUGGUUCCACAACUCCCAGAAAAAUUACAUCAUUUGCCCAACAUCAAUUAAAGACCUUGUAUAAGAGUAUAGUAAUCCACACAUGGGUCUGUGCACCUCUCCUGCUUCUGUGAAAUGUUAUGAAGAGCAAAUUAUGUACCAAACUUUGCAAUCUUGGCUUUCUCAUCUGCCCAAAUGCAGCAAUUACAGCAGUAACUUUGAUACUGCAGCACACUGGAACACUCAGCUCCUGCUGAGUACUUUUGUCCCUGAUCAGCCAUCAAAUAAAGUCACAGAUUCCCAUGGUGAAUCAAGCUAAUGACAAAAUGCAGGGUUUACAUAUAAUCCAACAACUCAGCAAGCAGCUGUUUCCAAUAUGUGAGAUACAAACAGAAAUAUCUUAUGGAGAAAGGAGAAGGGAUUGUGUCACCCUCUGUUCACACACUGCUCCUGGGCACUGCUUUUCCCAGUUCCAAGGAAAACCAGGACAGUACAGACAGACUUCAGCAGAGUUCAUUCCACAUUGUCCAACAUCUCCAGGCUCACACUGAGGAAUUCCUUAACCAGACACAAACCCAAGUUGCUUUCUGGUACAUCUAAUAUUUGCAUGGGGACAUUGCAAGUAGGCAGCUUGGUUUGUAAAUAUGUUCAAUCACAAAGGUCUGGGUUAAAGUUCAAGUGUCUGCACUAAGCUGGAGAAAAUCUAAAUAAGCAGCAAUUAAAACAGUCUGAUUCAUACAGGGCACUGCUGGACUUCGAAAUGGCUGAGGGCUUGAAGCUGUGUUAGGAAGGAUUCUUAUUUCAGUCCCACAGCACAGAAGGUACAUUUUAGGAGGAGAAAAGGGUAUUUUGGGGAAAGGCAACAUCUUCACCUGGUUUCAAGGGCUGCAGACAGUGGAUGCCUUUAAUCCUGCUGCUGUCAGAAGGGCCAGGCUGCUCCAAGCAGCAACUCCCACCCUCAAAAGGCUGAGCUGGGGCUGGGAGCCAGGAGCAGAGUCUGCAGCCUCAGAGCCCCGAGGAGACAUCCCAGGAGCAGAAGUGCAGGAGUGGAACGUGGGUGGGAAGGCAGCAGAGUCCAGAUGGGAAAAGGGACUUUCCUGAUGCAAGAGCCUGAGAACUGCUGGGUAAGAACAGACCCAACUGGAACGGCAGCUGAGACACAGGGUGAGAACUGCCCUGCCUUGGGAGCAAUCCCAGGAAUCACAGACAGCUUCAGAAGAGAGGGGAUGGACCUUGUUUCUGCACCACUGCAUGCAGGUUGUUUAUGUAUUGCUUUAGUAGGAGGAAGUGCUCCAGUGGCAAAAGAGACUCUGAGAGUUGCAUUGCUCAUGUGCAGCAAUAUUUGGACAGCAAACCCACCAGUCUGUCCCAUUCUCCUAUCAGUAGGAAGCUACAGGAAAAAGAGAUGGACUCUCAGCCCACUGUGCUAGAGAGGGAGAUAAAUUCCAGUAAAUCUGAGUGGUGAGGAGCUGCCCCGAGGCACAGCUUCAGCUCCUGUGCCGUGCCAGGCUGUGCUUGUAGUGACAGGAAAUGAGGGGCACCGGGGCGGCUCCGUGCCCUGUUCAGCAGCCCCACAAACAGCACAGAUUGCUCUUUAACCUCCAACCUGAGCCACGGCUAGGCAGGUGAGCAACUGUAUUCCUUGGAUCUGAUCCAUAACAAACCCGGGAUUUGCCUCUGAGCACUUCUCUUGCUUCUGAGGGCAGGAAAGAACUCGAUGGUUUCUGCAGGGAGCCACCACGCUGUUUCCAUCAGGGAGCACCUGGAGCUGUCCCUGGGGCAGCACCAUGAGCACCCGGCUGGAUGCACCUGCCUUUCUCCCAGGAAAGGGGAUGCACAUUCCCUGAGCACCUGCUGGAUCCUGAAAUGGGUAAAAAGAGAGCCCUGGGAGCUUUCAAAGGCUCCCAUGGCCAGGAUUCCAGAGCUCCUCCUCUCUCCUGUCCAUCCUGGAAUGGGAGCACGGCACAGGAAGGAGAAGCACAGCAGUGUUGCUGUGGGACAGCCAGUACAGAGAUGACCCCUGCUCCUUUUUGGGAUAAGCACAUUCCCACCCGAUCAAGAGGCGCCUGUAACCUUUGGGAAGGGGAAGCUGAGGGUUGACUCUGCUCAGAUUUUAAUCCAGAAUUUCAGCUCUUGGUAGCAGGAUGAGUUUUUUUAAUUAUUAUUAUUUGCAGUUUCUGGUGAGACAGAGCCAUCCUCCAGAAGCAGCCUCGAGCCUCUGUCACAGCACCAGUAAAAAUUUCCCCCCUUUAAGUGACAUAGGCUGGUGAAAUUUCCAUCACGGCUGCACAGCCCUGACCCUGCCAGGCUGGCCCCAAAAACUUCAAGUGAGCAGCAGGGAAAUGAAAAAACAUCUCAGGGCUAAUCCCUGUCCUCUCCCCCGAGCAGCAGGGAAGCCCAGGGCAAAGCCCCGCUGGACAAGAAUUAUCCAACCCAGAAAGAAGAAUUUCUAAACAGCACUGGGUCGAUGACCACGUUGAGUGUCAGGAUGGAGAGUAAAUAAUGACCUCUGGAAAGUGCUGCGUCAGCCUCGGCAGCCUGAAUGCCACCAGUUCCUCGGGGAAGGGCAGGAAUCUGGGAAAUGGGCACUGCACAGACAUUUCUGCAGGGUUUUGGUUACUUUAUGCAAAAAUAUUAGGAUUUCACACUCCCACCACAAGCCGGCCCGCGGGGCCCCUCUGCUGUCGUGUCCCAGCACUGCAGAGUUAACUCGGCACAAAGAUCAGCACUGGCUCCCUGAAAACCACCUCCUUUCCAGGGAUUUUGAUGACACUGCUGUAAAAAUGACCCGGGAAAUUCAGUCUCACACUCACAGAGUACAGAAACCCCGAGGAAACCCUGCAAGGGAUGUCCCCGACCCACCAGUAACUCACUGCCGGAAAGAACCCAUUUCCCACCACUCAAUUCCACGUAGAGACCUCUGAGUUACAGUAACCAGCCAAGACAGGGGCAUCCUAACAAAAAAAUAUUAAACAGUAUCUUAAAGGGCUGCAUUUUCUCUAUUGCUACAGAAUAAUUUGUUCUGCUACCAAGUAACCCCACCGAGGGGCUGCUUAUUUUUAAUAUCCCCCAGGCUGCACAGGACCCUGCCUUGGGAACCAUCUCUGAGCACUUCCAAAGCACAGUGUUUCUAACAGCCCUCAAGAGAUGAAACAGCCAAUAACGAGGCAGAGUGUGCCAUAUUUUAUUGAAACAAACUUCACCUUUACACCAGGGGUUCCAGGUGAAACCAGCACACUCCAGCGGAGCAGGCGGCCGUGGUGGUGGUGGCUUUGGUGGCCCCGGGGUGCCGUGAAGCUCAGAUGGCUGCCA
rnacentral:lncRNA from 1 species